UGCGUAGGCGGAUUAAUAAGUCAGUGGUGAAAGCUUUCGGCUCAACCGAGAAACUGCCAUUGAUACUGUUAAUCUUGAGUUCGGUUGAGGUAGGCGGAAUGUGUAAUGUAGCGGUGAAAUGCUUAGAUAUUACACAGAACACCAAUUGCGUAGGCAGCUUACUAGACCGACACUGACGCUGAGGCACGAAAGCGUGGGGGGCGAACAGGAUUAGAUACCCUGGUAGUCC
rnacentral:rRNA from 1 species